rnacentral:rRNA from 1 species
UACAUGGGGUGCAAACGUUGCUCGGAAUUAUUGGGCGUAAAGCGCACGUAGGCGGUUCGUUAAGUCGGAUGUGAAAGCCCUCGGCUCAACUGAGGAAGUGCACCCGAAACUGGCGAGCUUGAGUACGAAAGAGGAUCGCGGAAUUCCCGGUGUAGAGGUGAAAUUCGUAGAUAGUCGGGAGGAACACCGGUGGCGAAGGCGGGCGAUCUGGGUCGAUACUGACGCUGAGGUGCGAAAGCGUGGGGAGCAAACAGG